rnacentral:rRNA from 1 species
UACGAAGGGGGCUAGCGUUGCUCGGAAUUACUGGGCGUAAAGCGCACGUAGGCGGCUUUCUAAGUCGGGGGUGAAAUCCUGGAGCUCAACUCCAGAACUGCCUUCGAUACUGGAGAGCUCGAGUCCGGGAGAGGUGAGUGGAACUGCGAGUGUAGAGGUGAAAUUCGUAGAUAUUCGCAAGAACACCAGUGGCGAAGGCGGCGACCUGGACGGACACUGACGCUGAGACGCGAAAGCGUGGGGAGCAAACAGG